rnacentral:pre_miRNA from 1 species
UUAGCUCAUAUUUGUAUGGAAUGGGAUCGUUUGCCUACGUUUGCCGCUAGGGGCUCUGUUCCAACUGCAUACAAAAUUGGGCUA